rnacentral:ncRNA from 1 species
AAGGACUCACAAUCUGCGUGUUAAUAGCCUUUCUCAUGGCCUGGGAGGGUGGUUAGUGAAUC